rnacentral:rRNA from 1 species
UACUUAGGGUCCGAGCGUUGUCCGGAGUUACUGGGCGUAAAGCGCGCGCAGGCGGCGGUGUUGGCCCGGCGUGAAAGCCCCCGGCUCAACCGGGGAGAGUCGUCGGGGACCGCACCGCUUGAGGGCGGUAGGGGCUGGUGGAAUGCCUGGUGUAGUGGUGAAAUGCGUAGAGAUCAGGCAGAACACCUGGGGCGAAGGCGGCCAGCUGGGCCGUCCCUGACGCUGAGGCGCGAAGGCGUGGGGAGCGAACAGG